GACGAACGCUGGCGGCGUGCUUAACACAUGCAAGUCGAGCGGAAAGGCCCUUCGGGGUACUCGAGCGGCGAACGGGUGAGUAACACGUGAGCAACCUGCCCCUGGCUCUGGGAUAGCCUCCGGAAACGGGGAUUAAUACCGGACAUUCACUUCCUUCCGCAUGGUGGGGGGUGGAAAGUUUUUUCGGCCGGGGAGGGGCUCGCGGCCUAUCAGCUUGUUGGCGGGGUAACGGCCCACCAAGGCGACGACGGGUAGCCGGCCUGAGAGGGCGACCGGC
rnacentral:rRNA from 1 species